rnacentral:sRNA from 1 species
AGUUGUAUAUGUUUUGUUAAUGUUUUU